UCAACCACUCGUGGAUGGAUACUACCGAGAAGGUUGUGAUAUAUUUGGAGUAGAGUCUGCCAUCAUCGUACUAUUCCUCGCGCCAUCUAAGUUCAGAGUUGUCUUCCUCCUCAUCGCUUUGCAGAGUGCUGUACCAACUGCACAGUACCUUCAAUCCUCUGGUCAGCCUUUGAGACUUCAAGUUUUUCCAUAGUGGUAGUAGCCGCUGCAAACACAUCGUUGUUGACACCUUCGGCUAUAACCGUCCCAGCGCCUGUUCCGACUUGCUCCUGUAUCAUAUCACUUCCCUGCUCUGAAAAGUUGUUAAUAUGAGGUUGGAUGGUCACAUCCAAAGCACAUAUAUCAGAGACGAUCAUAGCAUCUUCACUUUCUGCUGUAUACUGCUUCAAAUUCAGCCCAUCACCUUGCACUGAAACGGCCUUGGGAUGGUUGAUAGCAGCAAGAUGCACAGAAUGACAGCCGAUCAAGGACUGUGGAAGAUGAGACAAGGUUGCACUAAGCCCUUCUGUCCUGGGAGGGGAAUUGGUUACCCCCACUGACGAAAGAGAUGCAAGCAAAGAAAAACUUGUUGUCUGCAUAGGAACAGGGCCACCAUUCUCUUGAUUAGAUGCCAUCAUCAUCUUUGUCUUGCUGCUCUUCACUCACCGGUAGCUCAAUUGCUGGUUCAAAACCG